rnacentral:tRNA from 2 species
GCGGGAAUAGCUCAGGGGUAGAGCAUCGCCUUGCCAAGGCGAGGGUCGCGGGUUCAAAUCCCGUUUCCCGCUCCA